GAUGAACGCUGGCGGCGUGCCUAAUACAUGCAAGUAGAACGCUGAAGGAAGGAGCUUGCUCUUUCCGGAUGAGUUGCGAACGGGUGAGUAACGCGUAGGUAACCUGCCUGGUAGCGGGGGAUAACUAUUGGAAACGAUAGCUAAUACCGCAUAACAGUAGAUGUUGCAUGAAAUCUACUUAAAAGGUGCAAUUGCACCACUACCAGAUGGACCUGCGUUGUAUUAGCUAGUUGGUGAGGUAACGGCUCACCAAGGCGACGAUACAUAGCCGACCUGAGAGGGUGAUCGGCCACACUGGGACUGGGACACGGCCCAGACUCCUACGGGAGGCAGCAGUAGGGAAUCUUCGGCAAUGGACGGAAGUCUGACCGAGCAACGCCGCGUGAGUGAAGAAGGUUUUCGGAUCGUAAAGCUCCGUUGUAAGAGAAGAACGAGUGUGAGAGUGGAAAGUUCACACUGUGACGGUAUCUUACCAGAAAGGGACGGCUAACUACGUG
rnacentral:rRNA from 1 species